GGAUUGUAGUCUGCAACUCGACUACAUGAAGCUGGAAUCGCUAGUAAUCGCGGAUCAGAAUGCCGCGGUGAAUACGUUCCCGGGUCUUGUACACACCGCCCGUCACACCAUGGGAGUCGGGAAUGCCCGAAGCCAGUGACCCAAGCGAAAGCAGGGAGCUGUCGAAGGCAGGCCGGAUAACUGGGGUGAAGUCGUAACAAGGUAGC
rnacentral:rRNA from 1 species